AACGAACGCUGGCGGUAUGCUUAACACAUGCAAGUCGAACGGACUUCAGCCUUCGGGCGAAAAGUUAGUGGCAAACGGGUGAGUAAUACAGAGGAAUCUACCUAGCAGUACGGAAUAACCCUGGGAAACCAGAGCUAAUACCGUAUAUUACCGAUUUAUCGGGAAAGAUUUAUCGCUGUUAGAUGAGCCUCUGCCGGAUUAGCUUGUUGGUAGGGUAAUGGCCUACCAAGGCGAUGAUCCGUAGCUGGUCUGAGAGGAUGAUCAGCCACACUGGAACUGAGACACGGUCCAGACUCCUACGGGAGGCAGCAGUGGGGAAUAUUGGACAAUGGGCGCAAGCCUGAUCCAGCAAUACCGCGUGAGUGAUGACGGCUUUCGGGUUGUAAAACUCUUUUAGUAGGGAAGAUAAUGACGGUACCUACAGAAAAAGCACCGGCAAACUUCGUG
rnacentral:rRNA from 1 species